GGCGGGCCCCCUCGCAUGGAGGUGCCGUGAACCUGGUCAGGUCGGGAACGAAGCAGCCACAGCGGAUUGCCUUCAGUGCCGAGGACAAGGCUCGCCUCU
rnacentral:SRP_RNA from 1 species